AGAUGCCAGGGUUCAAAGGUCUGAAUCCACGCUGUGCCUGCACAGAAGUGGAUGAAAGACCUUGGGACCCGCCCCGAUAUGAGCAUAAAAGUGGGAUGGAUAUCCCACGAUAUGCGAAUAGCGGGCAGGAUUUUGGGUUGCCGAGUGCCAGUGGCACUCGUUUGGCAACGACCGGAGUGAAACGGAGACGCGCAGCGCGGAAAAAUCCGCAGGCAUCU
rnacentral:sRNA from 1 species